UUUAAGUGUAAUUAUGAGAUUUUGUGUCUAACAUUAGACCGUCUGUCUUAUAUAAAAAAUAUGAUUUUUUUUUUAAAAAAAGUCACGCAUAAAGUAUGUUUUAUCUAUAAUAAAAAUAAAAGUAUUAAUCAAAAAAAAAUUAAAUAAGAUAGAUGGUUAAACUUCGUUGGACAAAGAAACACACUACUGCUUUUUUU
rnacentral:pre_miRNA from 1 species